GGAGUGGUUUGGAAUGAGAGGCCACUAUAUAGAUUGUCAGAUAGCCAUGGUGAACUGCUGGAGCUGAUAACUACAGUUUGUUGACACACCAGAUUCCAUAGCAGGAGAUUCCAUGGCUUUACUUUUUCCAAUUGUUGUUCGUGAACUGGAAGGAAGUGUUCUGUAAGCAUUU